UACGUAGGGUGCAAGCGUUUAAUCGGAAUUACUGGGCGUAAAGCGUGCGCAGGCGGCUAUGCAAGACAGAUGUGAAAUCCCCGGGCUCAACCUGGGAACUGCAUUUGUGACUGCAUGGCUAGAGUACGGUAGAGGGGGGAUGGAAUUCCGCGUGUAGCAGUGAAAAUGCGUAGAUAUGCGGAGGAACACCGAUGGCGAAGGCAAUCCCCUGGACCUGUACUGACGCUCAUGCACGAAAGCGUGGGGAGCAAACAGG
rnacentral:rRNA from 1 species